GCCAGCGGCUAGAUCACCUGCCAGCCCACUGCAGCUCAGCAGGUGUGAGCCUGGUCAGUACCUGGAGGGGAGACCUCCUGGGAAACACUAAGGCUGCUGCUGGAA
rnacentral:rRNA from 1 species